rnacentral:lncRNA from 1 species
CCCAUAAACGCGAUUGCGACAUCACUCAUACUAAGAUUCAUGCAUGCAUGCGCCCCUUUGGCUUAGUUCGUGCAUCAAGAUCGUGUUACUUCACUUGUUAAAUGCUUGAUGUCGUGGGCAAUCCACGAACAUUCUCUUCAGCGCGCCGCGACACCCCUGUCUCCUCCUCCCCGGCCCCUUCCUUUCUGCCCCUUUCGACGGGCCCUCGAUAAUUUGUUUUGUCUCUCACCAAUCAUUUCUGGCAUCUGAAAAAGACAAAAAUAAAAAGUGUAUCCUGUCAGUGUCAGAACAGUACAGCCUGCUCCUGUGAUUUGGGCAGUCAAAUGGAUAAGGAGUUUCUUGGUGCGAAACCAACAUACAUGUCUUGUUUCUUCGACUUGUAACAUACAUGCCCCUCUUGUUUCUUUCAAAGGCUACGAGGCUAAGAGGAUCGAUGGCGAAACUGUUGGACACUAAAGCUUGAACUUGGUUCGAGCAAACUCUUGAAAGAAAAUAAUAAUGAUAAUAAUAAUAAGAGUUACUCGUAUCCACAAAUCCACACCCACUCAACUUCAAGUAUAUAUUUCCUGCCAAAGUUCCUUUUGAUAAAUCAUGCAAAGGGUUUAACCAAACAGUCAGCCUAUCAUUAACUAGUAAGAAGCCAAGAAUGCAGAAAAGAAACCAAGCGAAGGAAAAAGAGUUCAGGUCCGAAUGCAGAAAGAAUAACUCAUUUCCGAGGGUCACAUAUUUCGUAAAGAAAGUGCCCAAGUAUUUGAGUUGUUACCUCAUCUGUUGGAGAAUAAGGUCUUGGAUGACUAGUUAUGGCACCAAGAGUGGGCAUUUCUCAGUCAUGACCUCUGCCAAUGGUGAGUCGAAGAAGUUCCUGGUGGAGCUGCGCAUGCUUUCAUAUCCUCCUUUUGUCAGGUUGCUGGAAGCAGCAGAAAGAGAGUUCGGAUUUGAACAAAAAGGUAUAUUAACUUUACCUUGUGAAGCAAGUGAGCUGCAACAAUUGCUAUCUCAUGUCUGAAGAUAUUAUGUAAUUGCAUCUUUUGUCGCGCACUGUAAUUUAGACAUUCUGGAAGAAAGAAAUGCAUCUAGUUCCCCCCUACAUUCAAAUAGAUGGUAGGGAAAUAAUCUAAAGCAGUUUUAAAUAAUCAUUCCACAAAAAGAUUUUCUUCUGCAACCUUGCUGGGGAAUAGCCGAAUAGCACAACAAAAUUGCAUCCUUCUCGUUAUCUGAUCAUAGC